UGCCAUGACUCACUGACAAAACCCUAUUCUUAAUAUAUGUUAUAUUUUUCAGUUCUCAAGCUCGUCUCUUAUGCCACGUGUGAAGAGGGCAAGAUUUUCUUCCCUUUUUUUUCCUUUCUUCUGCAUGCUUUGUUUUAGUUCCUGGUAAUCAAUUUAAUAAUGUUGAGAUAAGAAGAAUGACAUUAUUAUAUUUCAAUGCAUAAGGUAUGUAGGGGAGCACAUAAAUUUAAAAUAUUUUUUAAUAAAAUAAAUUCAAAUUUUCUUUUUGUAUUGUAUUCCAGUACUGGAUAGUGUAAUAUCGAAUAAUAGUUGUACUAAGGUAUAAUAUAUCUGGAUUUCAGUAAAACUUUCAAAUGGGAAAAUUACAAAUAAUGGAAUGGCAUAAUAUUAUUGUAUCCGCAGCCAAGGUUGGCUUGCUUGGUUGUUUUUUUUUAAUGUUAUAAGGGGUUGGAGUUUUCUGUUACUAUUUCAUCUAGGAGUUCGUAUUCGUUUUAUUGUUCUUUAUUUUUCUGUAGUUAUUUUGGCAUUUAAUCAUUAUGGUUUAUGAUAAUCAGUGUCACAUUCGUUAAUAAGCAAAGAUUCGUAUACUUUUUUUAAUAAGCAAACUCGUAUAUACUUAAUACCAUAAUAACAUUACUAAUAUAAGUGAAAAUGAAAAAGUUACUUAACCCCACUUCAAGCAUGGAGAAUUUAACUCUUACCUUGCUUUAGCUAAGCAAUUAAAUACAAUAAUCAACGCUAAUGACGACAUUGAAUUUUCAAACUUAUAUACAUAAAGUAAUAAAGUAGUAUAAAGCAGGCGAGUAAUGGAUUAUUAGUAGAAGUCGUUAUUACUUAUUAUUGCUAUCAAAACGUAAUGUGUUCUCCACUAUAUUU